AUUAAGGUGGCAGAAAUUAUGCGUUAAAUUUAAGCUUUAAAGAUGAAAGACUCUUUCCCUUGAUA
rnacentral:tRNA from 1 species